AACCCUAAUCAAGGAUUUGCAAUUUGCAUUAAUUUCUCUUCUCCCUUCUCUAUAUAAGAAAGAGACGAUGAUGAUUUGCCCUCCUCCUCGGCGAGAUCUAGGGUUUUUCCUCCGAUCGGUCUGUUUGGGGUGCAAACGGAUCGGAUACGACUUGGAUAUGAUGCUUACCGUAUCCAUGUACGGAUAUGAAUAUGUUUCGGUAAGGAACACUCAUAUCGUGUCCGCCAAAUUGGAUACAGUUAUGGAUAUAUGUGCAGAUAUAUCUUUGAAUAUACAUGCAGAUUCAAAACGAAUAUCAAGAAAAUUAUAUGAGGUUGGAAAAAACAUAAUUCAUAUGAUAGUGAGUCCAUUAAUAAGUUUAUUAGAUGAAAAGCUAAGAUUAGAUCUCGAGAUCAUCAAAUUAACUUCAAAUUCAUCAACCAAAGGAUCAAAGCAAUCACAACUAUAUGAUCAACAUAAAUUUGGAUAUUUCAGUUAUGGAUCUGGAUAUUUCACUUUAUAACCGCAUCCGUAAUCAUAUAUCGGAUAUUUCAGUUAUGAGAUCUAGGAAUCUUUUUUCCUAUGGGGCUGUUUGGUUUUUUUUUUCUAAUAUCCCAAUCUGCUUUCAGUAUUUUUUGGGUUUUUUUUUGCUUAUAUACCCCUCAAAUCUAUAAUAUUUCAAAAUUUUCCUUUCUAAAUCUGCAUGUAUUACCAAUGGUGAGGCAUUUUUGCAGCCAUUUUGGUGUUUUCUGCAGAUCAAAAAGGCGGGAGAGAUGGACUUAGGUUGAGGGUUUGGGUUUAUUUCCCUUUGGUAUGUCUGAUUAAAGGUCUGGUCUGAGUCUCUAAUCAUGGAUUGAAGAAAUAUAUGCGUGUUUGAACACAGUAGAAUUUGUGGCUCGUUCAGGAUGUUCACACUAUUUUUCUAUGAUUUCCCACAUGAAAGGAUAAAAAACAAACAUAAUUGCGGUUUUUGUGCAUAAAUGAGGUAAAUUUUUAUGUUCUACAAUGUUGGCUAAUUUGACAUUUAGCAAUUUUGCUGCAGGCAGUGAUCUGCCCAAGGAAAAUGAUCGGAGUAAGAUGAUUAGUCCUCAAGAAGCUUGUUAAUUUUUACAUACUACAGUGCAAGGUAGUGAUCUGACCUAGGAAAAUGAUUGGGGUUAGGUGAUUAGUUCUCAAGAAGCUUGGUAAUUAAUAUGCUACGGAGGCAAGGCAACUUGGAUGAUUUGCUAUAUUGCCAUUUUUGCUCUCAUGAGUAUGAAACUUUUCUCUUACAUCCUACUGCGGCAAGGAUUUGGGGUGUUGCAGAUAACUCUCUCUCUCUGAACCUUUUCUCUUGCAUCCUACUGCGGCAAGGCAAUUGUGGAUGGUUUGCUGACAGUGCAAGCAACCAUUUGUUACUAUUUCAUGAAUAAUUUGUGUCAGUUUGGCGCAAAAGACUCCUAAGUUAAUGGUGGUCAUUUAUUUCUUUAUUUUAUGAUGAUUUUUCUUGCUUUGAGUGAUUUUAUGAUGAUUUUCUUGCUUUGAAUGAUGCCUUUCUGCGGGUAGAAAACUCCUUUAGGAUAUGUUUAGCUUCUUUCCUUCUUUUAAGUUUAGUAUUCUGAUAUUGGUCCCCCAAGUCUUGCUUAUUUUUCUGUCUCCAAGACGAUGAUGAUUCACCCUCUCAGUUGAGAAAGAAAUCAGGGAAAGUAUCAACCUGAGAAUCGGUGUAGUACAACAUGCCUUAAUUCCUAUUUUAACAAUGUAGUUUCCACAAACUCAAAACGUUUUUGUAAACUACGUGGUUAAAACAAGAGAGCAUAUUUUUUUUGUUGAACUUCCCUUUUGUAAACCGUAUUUUGGGGGUUUAUCUGCAAUUAACCCCUUUUUUUUACCACAGUUUCAACAAACUGGAACCGAUUGUUGUUCCUUCGGACUUUAUGCAUUUCUCGUGUAAUGGCGAGGUAGGCUUGGCUGCUCUGCUACUUGCAGACUAUGUAUGCUUGCUACCAUACCUCAUAUCUGAUUAGAAGGGCUGAUCUGAGUCUUCUUUUUCCCCCUUUCUUUUCUUUUCUUUUCAACUUCUGAAUUGUUGCUCAUAAAGAGCCCCAAACUCUGUUCUUUAUUUUUUCUUUUCUUUUUUUGGGUGUGCCUUUCAAUGUGGUGCCCAAGUGUUAGUUGCAUUGUAUUUCUCUGCAGAUAAGAGGUGACAUUAGUGUUUUAUUCUGCUAAUUUGCUUUGCUUCCCUCCUUUUAAAGAAUUAAGUAAAUAUGGUUUUCCCAAUGAAAUUUUUUGUUGGAACAUGGUUGGUUCUUAUGGAAACUUUGUUUUGCAUAUUUAUUCAUUUAACCUUUUGCUAUGUGUAUAUUGCAAUGGCUGGGCAGUCCUGGAUGGUCUGCUACAUUGCAGGCAUCAAUUGAAACCAUUCAUUGAUAUGGAGGAUAUACUUUCCUGGGGGCUCAUAACAGUUUUGAUGAUUUUGGGGCUAAUUUUAAAAUUACUUGUGAUUUUGAGGGGUAUAUAUGGAAACAACCCUUUAUUUGGUUGCACAAACUGCGUAACUUGACAAAGAACCAAUAAAAAAAGCCCUUUAUGCAUUUGUUGCACAAACUGCAUAAUUCAACCAAAAAAAACGAGUUAAAAAAAAUCUAUGCUGUCCUCUAUAUUGAUGGUUUUCCCAAGGUCUUCUCUCUUAUUGCCUUCAUCAAAGCGCAAGAUGAGAUAAAAGAAACAUAUAGAGGGUUUUCUAUAGAAAACAUUGCGUAUUAGCCCCUCAAAUCUUAUUUCUCUUCUUCCUUCUGAGAGGUGACAAUGAUUUGGCCUCUUUGACGAGAUAUUUGUUUUGGUGUAAAUCUUUUCAGGCUGUCACCUACUUUUUAUCCCCAAUGGCGAGGCAGUUUUCCAGCCAUUUUGGUAUUUUCUGUAGAUUUUUAAUGAUUGCCUCUCAAAUCAUCACAUCUACAAAUCAACCCCAAAAUCAACACAUGGCAAAUACUGUUGCAAGCAUUGAGUAAGCGUGUAUACUCUGGCUGAAUGAAAAAAGAGAGGAGAUACAAGACUUUGGUUGUGCCUGAGGAUUCUAACUGCUGCUGCUAUUAUCAAUUCUCCUUUCUAGGCUGAGGCAAAGAGGUUGGAGGUGGGAAAGGACAUCCCCGUACAGGGUUAACAAGUUCAAAUCGUGAGAGUUCAAAUAAGAAGCUGCCAGCGAACUAUUUGGAGUCGCAGAUUCUUCGAAGCAUCAGGAGAGAUGACUCGCCGUGACCUUUCUCUGAGCCGUGACUCUUACAUGGCGAUAUAUAUAUUUGAGAAAGAUCAUUGGUUUUGCAUGUUGAGAGGAACUCUCUCUCGAUAUUUAUGGAUGAAGUGUGCGUAAAGUGAUGUACCAUUUUCAGUGACAGCUCUAUGGUUCUGGAACUAAAACAUGCUCGUCCUGACUCUUCUAGUAUAUAUAUUUGUUAUAUGUUACACGGUGAUAUAGUAUUAGAGUCUUGCGCUUGUCUAUUGAUUUUGUUAUUUAGUGAUUUAUCUAAGUUA